rnacentral:rRNA from 1 species
UACGUAGGGGCUAGCGUUAUCCGGAAUUACUGGGCGUAAAGGGUGCGUAGGUGGUUUCUUAAGUCAGAGGUGAAAGGCUACGGCUCAACCGUAGUAAGCCUUUGAAACUGGGAAACUUGAGUGCAGGAGUGGAGAGUGGAAUUCCUAGUGUAGCGGUGAAAUGCGUAGAUAUUAGGAGGAACACCGGUGGCGAAGGCGGCUUUCUGGACAGUAACUGACGCUGAGGCGCGAAAGCGUGGGGAGCAAACAGGAUUAGAUACCCCUGUAGUCCCUGAGCGGGCUGG